UACAGUAGCCGCACCAAAACAGAGGGCUGCUCUCUUUCCUCUCCUCUUUAUAUUUUCUUUUGGAGAUUUAAAGGAAUUUCUCACACAAGCUUCAAGGAGACAUCAAGAGCUACAAGAUUCAAGCUUUAGUAUUGGUUCUAUCAAAAGACUGGAAAAAUCAAGCCAAUAUCUGGAAGGGAGAAGGAAGAGCAUGAGAUUAGAAAAUGGGACAUCGAGAGGCUGAUACAGAAUUGGACAAGCUUUAACAGCUUGAAAAAACUAAUUAAAAUCUUCGAAAAGCUGAAGGAGGAUCGAGAGGAAUCAAAAUCCGAGGAAGAGGAGAAUAGAUCAGAUGAAGCAAAGACAGCUCCGGAAGGAGAGGAAAAAGGAGA